AUGAACGCUGGCGGCGUGCCUAAUACAUGCAAGUCGCGCGAGCGGACGAGAAGCUUGCUUCUCUGAUGUUAGCGGCGGACGGGUGAGUAACACGUGGAUAACCUACCUAUAAGACUGGGAUAACUUCGGGAAACCGGAGCUAAUACCGGAUAAUAUUUUAAACCGCAUGGUUCAAAAGUGAAAGACGGUCUUGCUGUCACUUAUAGAUGGAUCCGCGCUGCAUUAGCUAGUUGGUAAGGUAACGGCUUACCAAGGCAACGAUGCAUAGCCGACCUGAGAGGGUGAUCGGCCACACUGGAACUGAGACACGGUCCAGACUCCUACGGGAGGCAGCAGUAGGGAAUCUUCCGCAAUGGGCGAAAGCCUGACGGAGCAACGCCGCGUGAGUGAUGAAGGUCUUCGGAUCGUAAAACUCUGUUAUUAGGGAAGAACAUAUGUGUAAGUAACUGUGCACAUCUUGACGGUACCUAAUCAGAAAGCCACGGCUAACUACGUG
rnacentral:rRNA from 1 species